rnacentral:rRNA from 1 species
GACGAACGCUGGCGGCGCGCCUAACACAUGCAAGUCGAACGAGCGAGAGAGAGCUUGCUUUCUCAAGCGAGUGGCGAACGGGUGAGUAACGCGUGAGGAACCUGCCUCAAAGAGGGGGACAACAGUUGGAAACGACUGCUAAUACCGCAUAAGCCCACGACCCGGCAUCGGGUUGAGGGAAAAGGAGCAAUCCGCUUUGAGAUGGCCUCGCGUCCGAUUAGCUGGUUGGUGAGGUAACGGCCCACCAAGGCGACGAUCAGUAGCUGGUCUGAGAGGACGACCAGCCACACUGGGACUGAGACACGGCCCAG